CACCUCCUGUCGUGAUCGAGCGUAGCCUGGGUAUUUUCUUGAGCCUAAUUGCUACCCGGGGGACAUGAAAACCUCGCCGUUGUGCAAGUCCGUCACCGAGCGGAAAGCCUGAAGCGAUGAACACUGUUCCCACUUGAACCCUUCCGGUUCAAGAACGAAGGUCUGCAGCGACACCAAUGGGAGGCGU
rnacentral:other from 1 species